UACGUAGGGGGCAAGCGUUGUCCGGAUUUAUUGGGCGUAAAGAGCGUGUAGGCGGCCAUACAGGUCAGCUGUGAAAACUCGAGGCUCAACCUCGAGACGUCGGUUGAAACCGUAUGGCUAGAGUCCGGAAGAGGAGAGUGGAAUUCCCGGUGUAGCGAUGAAAUGCGCAGAUAUCGGGAGGAACACCAAUUGCGAAGGCAGCUCGCUGGGACGUUACUGACGCUGAGACGCGAAAGCGUGGGGAGCAAACAGG
rnacentral:rRNA from 1 species